ACGAUAUUCCGCUGGGACCUUAUAAAGUCUUAAGAGUAUUUG
rfam:Enterococcus columbae DSM 7374 = ATCC 51263 genomic scaffold acyDG-supercont2.6, whole genome shotgun sequence.